AGUUGGAUGUUGGGGGUUGGUUGACUUGAGUUGGGGCUCGAUUGACCUACCCCAACAGCCCCUUCCCAUCAAUAUCAAUACGCAUUGAAACAUCAUUUCGGACAUAGUAAUAACAGCAACAAAGGUCAAUAAGAAACCAACUCCCAUCAGUAAUGAAGAUUUGAAUUACAUCAUUUGGGAAGUAACAUGAAAGCCAAUUUAUAUUUGCAGCUAGACAAAAGGAAACAAAACAAAACAUCAGGAAACAAAGCAUCAUGUAAUCACAUAGUAACCAUCCCGAAUACAGCUAGAUAGAAGGAAGAUUAUAUUUGCAGCCGUGUAUGUGAUGAAAUUCCUAUACACUAAUCUAGAACUUCAGCAGCAUGAAGAUUCGUAGCAGGUAACAAUGUACAUUGUACAUUAAAGAUGAACAGAAGCAACCCUUGAGCACAAGCAUUGAUAUGUAUUCUUGGUCAGUGAAGAAUAUGAAAGAUCUUUCUAUAGAGUAAAGCAGCUAAUGGCAUUGAAAGAAAUGAACCCAAAUAUAGAUCAUGAGAUUAAAAACAAGGAUAGAACAGUUUAACGG
rnacentral:lncRNA from 1 species